rnacentral:rRNA from 1 species
AUUAUUGGGCGUAAGGGCUCGCAGGCGGUUUCUUAAGUCUGAUGUGAAAGCCCCCGGCUCAACCGGGGAGGGUCAUUGGAAACUGGGAAACUUGAGUGCAGAAGAGGAGAGUGGAAUUCCACGUGUAGCGGUGAAAUGCGUAGAGAUGUGGAGGAACACCAGUGGCGAAGGCGACUCUCUGGUCUGUAACUGACGCUGAGGAGCGAAAGCGUGGGGAGCGAACAGGAUUAGAUACCCUGGUAGUCCACGCCGUAAACGAUGAGUGCUAAGUGUUAGGGGGUUUCCGCCCCUUAGUGCUGCAGCUAACGCAUUAAGCACUCCGCCUGGGGAGUACGGUCGCAAGACUGAAACUCAAAGGAAUUGACGGGGGCCCGCACAAGCGGUGGAGCAUGUGGUUUAAUUCGAAGCAACGCGAAGAACCUUACCAGGUCUUGACAUCCUCUGACAACCCUAGAGAUAGGGCUUUCCCUUCGGGGACAGAGUGACAGGUGGUGCAUGGUUGUCGUCAGCUCGUGUCGUGAGAUGUUGGGUUAAGUCCCGCAACGAGCGCAACCCUUGAUC